GCAUUUUGGGUGGUGGUUAGACCCAAGAGGUUAAGAGAGUUAAGCGUGCUAGGACGGGAGUAGUCCUAGGAUGGGUGACCCCCUGGGAAGUCGGGGCGUCACAGAUGGUAUCAGAGCCAAUUACCAGCCGGAAGUGUGAGAUGAGUCUCGGCUGAGCCAGGGUCUGGAUGACGGGCUAGCGAGAUGAGUCUCACAUCGCCUGGUACUUGUGAGUCUGAGCCUGACGAGGACGUCAGGGCUUAAAGGAGGGGAGAUAGUGAGACCCCAGAUAGUCCUAUAUAUAAGAUAUAAUAGGGCUAAAACUCUUAACCCGGCUUAAGCAUUUUGGGUGGUGGCUAGACCCAAGAGGUUAAGAGAGUUAAGCGUGCUAGGACGGGAGUAGUCCUAGGAUGGGUGACCCCCUGGGAAGUCGGGGCGUCACAGAUGGUAUCAGAGCCAAUUACCAGCCGGAAGUGUGAGAUGAGUCUCGGCUGAGCCAGGGUCUGGAUGACGGGCUAGCGAGAUGAGUCUCACAUCGCCUGGUACUUGUGAGUCUGAGCCUGACGAGGACGUCAGGGCUUAAAGGAGGGGAGAUUGUGAGACCCCAGAUAGUCCUAUAUAUGAGAUAUAAUAGGGCUAAACUCUUAACCCGGCUUAAGCAUUUUGGGUGGUGGCAAGGCCCAAGAGGUUAAGAGAGUUAAGCGUGCUAGGACGGGAGUAGUCCUAGGAUGGGUGACCCCCUGGGAAGUUGGGGCGUCACAGAUGGUAUCAGAGCCAAUUACCAGCCGGAAGUGUGAGAUGAGUCUCGGCUGAGCCAGGGUCUGGAUGACGGGCUAGCGAGACGAGUCUCACAUCGCCUGGUACUUGUGAGUCUGAGCCUGACGAGGACGUCAGGGCUUAAAGGAGGGGAGAUUGUGAGACCCCAGAUAGUCCUAUAUAUGAGAUAUAAUAGGGCUAAACUCUUAACCCGGCUUAAGCAUUUUGGGUGGUGGCAAGGCCCAAGAGGUUAAGAGAGUUAAGCGUGCUAGGAUGGGAGUAGUCCUAGGAUGGGUGACCCCCUGGGAAGUUGGGGCGUCACAUAGACUUCAAGAGAAAUCCGUGGAGCCCAAUUUGACAGAUUUUGGUUGAGGUUAGCUUGGUCGAUUUUGGGUUUUUCUUUACUGCUAAUGUUUUGGUCCUGAAUUUGAGUUUCUUUGGUUGUUAUGGACCAAUUCGUUGAGAGAGCUGGAAUAUCGGCCAGUGAUGAAAGUUAUGGAACCCGAGGAUCUAAAAGGUGAAAACACCUAGAGGGGGGUGAAUAGGUGUAAACGGUAAAAAUCACUAAACUCGAUGCAAAUAUAAUAUAAAUGCGGAAAAUAAAAUCAGCACACCGAGAAUUAACGUGGGAAAACUCCAAACCGGAGAGAAAAACCCACGGGACCGAUCACACAAAGAAAUCCACUAAGAAAACAUGAGUACAAGUAAUUUACCAAAAAUACAAGACUCAAAAUACCGAAUCCUUGUUAUGGAUUAUCUUUGCCAGUCCUUGAUCGCUUGGAAUCCACCAACCGAUCACACUGCAAGUCCUUGCAGCCACACACGCCUCGAUUCCACGAAACGCCCACCAAAUCCACGGUCUUCACGCGAGAUCCACGCCCUAAUGCUCCAUCCGAAGCUCGUAGGGAUUUAACAAUUUGUGGUGAUUUAAGAUCUUUGAAAGCACAUAUAAUAUUAGGAGAAACCCAAAUUAAAACAUCACCAAUUUGAUCCUUAAAGAAGAUUUGAAUAAAGAUCAAAGAAUCAAAUCGGUGCACUAAAGCCUGAUGUUUAAAACAUAGCUCGAAACUCCGAAUCAAGCCGUUAGAGUUUUUAAAAGGUUAUCUCGCUCAACUCCUGUCAUAUGGAGAUCCUCAUAUCAUAUUUAUAGAUUUAGAAGACUUCUAGAUAGACUAGGAUUCCGAAAACUCAAUUUCAAAAACUGACGACGGUCUCAGGGUCCAGUCCUCCCGAGGAGACCGGUCCUUGGGGGACCGGUCCUCCAAGGUGAAGUCCGGUCCUUCGCUGCGUAGCUGUAAAAGCAUGCGUGCGGGGACCGGUCCUCAAUUCAGAGACCGGUCUCUCUCUGCGCAACAAGAAUAACCACCUACGAGAACCAGUCCUCAAGAUCAGAGACCGGUCUCCCAAAACUUCUACGCAGAGAAGCUUGAUGGGUCCGGUCCCUCUGAACAAGGACCGGUCCCUGACCCCUAAGAUUUUUUGAAAACUUUAGUUUGAUCAAAAAAUAGAAACCAAGUCUUCUAAACACCUUUUAACAAUAAAACCUCACCACAAAUUAUUUAUAAUCAUACCAGAGAUCCCAAGGGUCUUUGAUCGUCAAACUCCAAUUCUUUCUUCAACCUUCGUCUUCUAAACCUUCGAGACUCCGUCCAAAACUCCACAAAAGUCGCCAACUUAAUAAAAUCCUUAACAAGUGAAAGUUGUGUCACUAUUUUCCUACUGAUUUGGAGGGUGUUCAUUAUCUGAAUUGAGAAUUUGGGGAUUGAUAGGUGAGUUUUGACAUUGGAGUUGUUGGUUUAAGCUUAAGUGUUGAAAUUUGGGGUUAUUGAUACAACUUUGAUACUUUUGUAUUCAGAUCUUCGGAGGAUAUUGAGUUUGGACUAGAGGGUGAUAUUCCAUCUUGGUUUACUAGUUUUGGGAUCUUGCUACACCUGAUUUGAGAUUGGAAAUGUGAAGUUAGCAUUGUAAUUGAGCCAAUUUAAGCUUAGGUGCUGAAAUUAGGUGGAUUUUGAUGGAUUUUGAUAGAUUUUGGUGUUAGAUCCUUCUAGUAUCUUAGUUGCUGGUUGUGGGUGAUUUCGGCUGAGGCUUCAAGCCAUUCGGACCUUCUUGCUGCUGUGGAGUUGCGCGAAGGUAGGUUAAUCAUCGGUUUUGCCUCCUAAGCAUCGCAUAGUAGACAUGUAUAGUUCAGCUUUUGUAUAUCAUGUUUUAGCUCGAAUUUAUUAAUUAGCAUGUUAAAUGAAAUCUGAAUUUGGAGCGUGCUGUAGUAAUUAAAUAAAUAUACAUAUUGGACUUGAAAGUUGACUUAGGAGAAAACUAGCGAUUUGACCUGUCAUAUGUUUCUACUACCUGAUUUAGCUCUAGGAGCCGUAGUUGGUUUGUAUCACCGCAGUUUCAGCGCAGUGGAUACUCGGGGUAGUUUAGAAUACAUUUACGCUCGUGCGGGAUGCCGAGCUUGGGUAAUAUUCAACUGUAGAUUCUACACAGUCUUUUCUAUAAACUAUCGGUUAGCUCCUUAAGCUUUUGUGCUUCGUAUCCCCGCUGUUAGUGUGCAUUUGAUACACAGAUAGCUUCUGAAGCUGUCGCGGAUAGUAUCCACACUGUUGUGUGCAUUUGAUACGCUGAAAGCUUAGGAGCUGUAGUUGAUCUGUAUCACCGCAGUUUGUUGGCAGUAGAUAUCCGGGAUAGUGUAGAAUGCAGUUAUGCUCUUGCGGAGAUGCCGAGCUUAUUUUUACAGCAGUGUCUAGGCUGUUUCGGACUGUCGGGUGCCGUCAGGGUUGACGGUGGACCCGGAUUGCGGGUUUUGCAUCAGAUUGUGCCGAGAGCACGUGAGUUUUGGUUGUUAGACCAGUUGGACCCUGUUUACUUGAUUAUAACCUGUGAGAGCUUGAUUGAGCUCAGUAGAGAUACGCUUGCAUACUCGGUUGGGUAGCGCCCACGAGUGCCACUCCGGAGUCGGGCUUUGUGCGUUUGCGUUGUGUAGUGUCCUGGUUGGACUUGCUCUCCACGGACUGAUUAAUGUGGAGGUAGCAUUUAGGAUUCGACAGGCGAGACGGGUGCGUUCACAGUCCCUGGGACAGGUGUGUUCACAGUCCCUAUGGAUUUGGGUUUGAGGUUGCAUUACUCUACAGAUAGUAGUGUUGGUUCAUGAUAGGAUAGUGGCAUAUAACUGUAGAUUUGUUCCAACUUUCUUUUCUAUCACUGAGCAUAGAUCUGUAGACUUAAUGGAUGAGCCGAUGAGUUUGAGGGCGGUACCCACUGAGGACUGCUUCUUUUGCAGUAGUUCUCACGCCCAGUUGUUACCCCUAUUUUUGCAGAGCCAUUGCCUUCGGCUGCUGCUGUUAUUGAUUCAGAUCGUGGCAAGGGCGUCGCGAGUUAGAGCCCUUCCAGACGAGCCAGAGCUAGAGGAAUACCAGCUAUAGGUAGUUAUAGUUUUUGGUUCUUUACAUACUGAUAUUGUACCUCGCUGGAACGAGUGUCUUUGUACAAGGAUGAUAUGUAUGAUCGAACCACUGUUUUAUAUAUGGUUUAGUUUCCUAGCAGCUCUAUACUACUGUUUGUAGUAUUGUUUGAUUACAAGUACUUUUACUGUUUCGCUUCGUAUAUAGAAAAAUUCCUAUGUAUACGGCGGGUCUAUUAGCGUGCCCGGGGAAACGAGUAAUCCGGGGCAUGACAUAGGUAAAGAGCAAAAUUCAACCAUGCGCUUUAUUAUUUAUGAAUUGGUGUGCAAAAUAAUUUACAUUUACAUAUUGAUAUGAAAAAUAAAAUGAAACAAAAUGUGAACUCAAAUUGAUACGAAAAAUUACAAAUGACAUUAAUAUUUAAGCAUAUAAUGAGAUCAACUAAACUUCCAUAUUUGACACAAAUUAAAGUAAGCACACGUAUAUGAGAGACAUACCAAUUUUCAAGAUUCAAAUAUAUAUAGAUUGUCACGCCCCGGAUUACACGUUCUCCGGGCAAGCCGACAAAUCCGACGUACACAAAGAAAUUUUCUCUGUAUACGAAGCGUAGCUGUAGCUGUAACAUAUACAAGACUACAACCAGUAGUAUGGAGCUGCUCAAAAAAACUGGUAUAAACAGGAACAAGUUUCAUAUACAUACAUACAUCCAGGUAUACAAAAAGCUCGCCCAGCGAGAUACAACGAGUAUGUAUAAGAAACUCAAAAACUAGCACUACCUACAGCUGGUAACCUCUAGAACAGCAGCAACUGGGAAGGUCUCUAACUGGCAACGCCCUUGCCACGAUCAGUCUCCGAGGAAGUAGCAGCUGGAACGGCAGGCUCUGCAAAAAAUAGGAUAACAACUGGGCGUGAGAACUACUGUAAAAAUAAGUAGUCCUCAGUGGGUACCGCCCUCAACAUCGUCGGUCCACCCACCAAGUCUACAGAAGGAAGCAAAGAUAGUAGGAAAAGCUGGAAGAAAUCUACAGCUAAAUGCCACUACACUAUCCUGCUCUACACUAACCAACUAUAAUAAAAGUCAAUCCUGACCCAAUCUCACUAGGAACUGUAAGUAUACCCGUCCCUGGGACUAUGAACACACAUGUCCCGCCCGGUUGUGACUAUACAGCUACCUCCACGCUAAGCAGUCAGUGGAGAGCGAGUCCAACCUGCACGAACGACACCAACGCAAAAGUACAGCGCCCGCAUCCGGAGUGCCACUCGUGGGAGUUACCCAACCGAGUAUGCAAGCAUAUCUCUGUCGAGCUUAAUCAGGCUCUCACAAGCCAAAGUCAAGUGAAUCAGGUCCAACUAGUCUAACAACCAAUAGGUCACAUGCCCUCGGCACAAUCUGAUGCUAAAACGGCGAUAUGGGUCCACCGUCAACCCCGACGACACCCAUCAGUUCGGAACAAUCUGAACGCUACUAUAAAAAUACACUCGGCAUCCUAGCACGAACGUAAUUGAAAUCUAAACUAUCUGGGGUAUCCACCACGACGAUACUGUGGCGAUACAAAAUAGCAACGGCUCCUAAAGGUAAAUCAGGUAGUUUAAACAUAUGACAGGUCAUAAUCGCAGUUUUCUCCUAAGUCAUAUCCAAGUCCAACAUAUGCAAGUAGAUAGUCACGGUAUUAAGCUUCGAUUCAAAUUCUACAUGUAAAUAUGCCAAAAUUCAUGAACGGAGCAAUCUCUAUCAACGAAUCAACACAACAAUAAUACAUGUCGACAAUCUAUAUACUUAGAAGAUAAACCGACGAUUAACCCACCUCAAUAGCUAAACCCAAUCCUGCGCGACGUCGGGAACGGCGGAAUCGCACCCUUGCCCGGCCUCCUCGCGACGCUACGACGACAAACGUACACUCGAACGGCACCGCGGCGCGACGUCGACGACGAUCCACACCACCCGAGCUCCAACGACAACCGGUCCUAGCUAGAGAGAGAGAUGAGAAGAAGAACAAUAUAAUCUCUCUCUCUCAGCUCUACACAUGCCUAAAUAGAGAGGGAGGGGAUGAGUAACAUGAGCGAGGUGAAAAAAGACCAAAAAGUCCUCUUACCUACCCAUGUAACGACCCAGCCCACUAGCAAUAAUAACUCGUUGGGCCCAACAACCGGCCCAAAAUGCUUAAGCCCAGUUAUUAUUACUAGUGUCUAAGUCUCUUAUAAACCCAAUGACAACCCCAUUUCUAUUCGAUGUGGGAUUAUUGGGGUGUCACAACCCAGGUGUACCGGUACACGAGUAGUUGUACCGGUACAAAUGGCAACCCGAGAGCAGCUGUGCGAAAACAGGCGAAAUGUACCGGUACACAUCCGAUGUUGUACCGGUACAGAAAGUGUACCGGUACACCUCUGAUGUUGUACCGGUACAACAAGCAUGAAAUCUGCAAUUUACAGAUUCUAAUGCUAACUUCUACUCUCGCGUCCCCACUGAGUCCGUUUUGCGUCUAUUUCGCGCCAACGCGACUCGGACUUGUCCCGACACCCUCACGACGUGUCGACAAGUCUCUACUGCUGUACACUAGGGAUGCCACAUAGAUGUUGGUCUUUAAGAAAAUAUGAAGGAAAAAAAAAUUUUGUUGCAUGAAGAUGAAAAGUACCUGCUCCAAUAAUAGUAUAGAUAAAUUGUUAGAUAAGUGAAAUGAUAAAUAUCAUAAUAUUAGUGAAAUUUUUCAGAAAAAGAUCUAAAUUUAUUUAAAAAAUAAAAUGACAGAGUUGAAUUGUUAAAAAAUUAUAAUUUUUGAAAUAACAUAAAGAAAAAUAAACCGCUUAUAUUAUAGAGAACCACCAGUUGAGAGAAUUGAGUUGAAAUUUCACUAAGCACCAUAAAUUGACUUAGUUCUCCGCUUAUAAUCCUAAAUUUUAUUUUUUAAUGUAAGUGAACAAUAUAUAUAAAAAAAAUAAUAAGGUUAUUGGUUAACUUACUUAUUUUUGAACUCUAAUAUUUCUGAUAUAUCAGUGUUGAUCAUCAUCUUAGUUGCAUAAAGAGAGUUUGAUAUACUACGUUGACCUAUGUUGCCCAUAGAUAUACAAUAAUUAGUAUAAUUAGUAAGAAUAUAAUAAUAUCUAAAGUUUGAAUAAAUGAGAUAGCUGCAAAGUCUUUUAUCUUGCACCAUUGCAUUAUAAUUAUGACAGGACCUUCAUCUCCUAUUUGUCUAUAAGUAUGAAGUUUUUCAGCAAACCUUCUCCACAAUGUGUAACCCAGCUUCUUGUUGCUAUAAGUUUUACAGAAAAAAAGUACUAAAUGACCAAAAGAUAAUAAAAAGAAGUAUUAAAGAGUUGCUAUCCUACUUAAAAAAUAUAUAUAUACAUAUAUAUAAAUUAUAUAUACAAAUUAAAAGGACCAUUGUACUACAAAUGCUACUUAUAAAACAAUUCAUUUUAUAUCAUAUAUAUGCCUACUUGUUUUUGGUUUAUAUUUAAUUAGAUAGAUAAUUUUUAUAUUUAUAUUUAUAUUAGCAAGAAAACUCCAAGAACAUAAAGUACCGUUAUUUAAGAUGUAGACAUGAGUGUCGUAUUAUAAAGUUAUCAAAUUGAUAAAUACAAUAUACUUUUGUUUUGGAUAAAACUGUCAAUCUAGUUAUUACUUUAUAAUAAUAAACAGCUAACUGAACAAAAACAUAUAAACAUUCAAAAGAUAUAUUUAUAAUUAUGAACACCUACUUGUCAUCCUCAAGUAGAAUCAUAAUUUUUUUUGUUACUUUACCGUCCUUGCAGCUUUCUUCCGUUCUACUAAUUCCAGAAAGCUUCCCAAUGACAUCUGAUAAAUUAGAAAAAUAAAAUGUAAGAAUUAAUAUAAUAGGUACACAUAUUAAAAAUUAAAUUUUAAAAAUCAAAUAUUUGAUACAUGUAACAACUCUUACCUACUAAAUAUUUGUCAUCAGCGACAUUAGCAAGUAUUUCAUCAAAAGGAGUAAAUAUAAAUGCAUACUUUGAUAUUGUCAAAAUAUCUUCCAUCUCACGUACAACCGUAGAAUAUUGAAAAUUGAUUUUGUAAGGAUAUUUAGUGGUCUUGUAGGAGCCACUGCUCUGCCCCACUCCAAACUGACUGAUUACAUAAACUUUUUAUUCGGUAAAAAGGCCUUUAAAUUUGUUUAAGAAAGCUUUUCUUACCGUUGCAUGUAUCAUAUCUCUCUAAAAUAGAAAAUAAACCAAUUAUGUAGUAUCUUUUAUUAAAAACAAAUCAAGUAAUAUUUCAGCAAAUAAAAGUUGUAACAUCCUAAAAAUUAUAAGUACUCUCAAGUCAUCAUCACCCAUUUGACGUGCAUCAUGUAACAUAUGCCUUCAAUAGAAAUAAUGGUUUUCACCAAAUAUCAUAAUACAGUAAGUUUAUAUGCAUGUAGGGACUCAUGUUACAUGUAAUUCAUUCACAAAAUAUUUGGGUCAUAUCUUUUGUUAGUGAAAAAUCAAAAAAGAAUGAAAAACUAAGUAGCGAUAGUAGGUUUUUAUAUUACAUGAAAACGUAUGUUCAAUUUGAAAAUAACAGUCGUAUCUUACAUUUUGAUCAGAAAGAACUAAAUCUAGGCUAUUCACCACCUCUGGACGAUGAAAUUCAGACAUAGUAUAUAGACAAAUCACUCUGACUUUGAUCUUCUAUUUGUCUCCAAGAGGAGUGAUGUCACUUAUAGAAUCAAACCCAAGUGUCAUAUCCUGAGAACUAAGAAAAAAAGUUAAUACUUGCUUUGUAUUUAAGUAAUAAAAUGAAAAUAAUAUGUUCUAUUUUAAAGCAUCAAUAUCUAAGAACUAAGAAAAACUGCUCAAUAGAUACUUAACUGAAAUGUGCUGAAUAAUAUUAAAACAAAGAGAAAAUUACAGAAGGAGUGAUAGUAGGGAAGUGGCAUGUAAUAUUAAUUGUAUAUAUAAUUAUAAUUUGAUUUAAUAGUGUUUAAUAGUGUUUCCUAAUAAAAUUCUAUUUAAUUGUAUAUAUAAUUAUAUUUAAUUGGUAUAAUUUGAUUUAAUAGUGUUUUCUAAUAAAAUUCUAUUUUUAUUAGAUCUAAUUGCUAUAUUUGAGUUUGACAUGUAGCAAGCAUAUAGAAAGAUGCAUGAUAAACAUUUAAUUUGAUUUAAUUUGAUUUAAUCGUGUAUAUAAUUAUAAUUUUAUUUAAUAGUGUUUAAUAGUGUUUCCUAAUAAAAUUCUAGUUAAUUGUAUAUAUAAUUAUAGUUUGAUUUAAUAGUGUUUAAUAGUGUUUCCUAAUAAAAUUCUAGUUAAUUGUAUAUAUAAUUAUAAUUUGAUUUAAUAGUGUUUAAUAGUGUUUCCUAAUAAAAUUCUAGUUAAUUGUAUAUAUAAUUAUAUUUAAUUGGUAUAAUUUGAUUUAAUUUGAUUUAAUAGUGUUUCCUAAUAAAUAACCUAUUCUAUAUUUGUAGUGUUUCCGAAUAAAAUUCUAAUUGGUAUAUUUUGAUUUAAUAGUGUUUUCUAAUAAAAUUCUAUUUUUAACCAUCUAAUUGCUAUAUUUGAGUUUGACAUGUGGCAAGCAUAUAGAAAGAUGCAUGAUAAAUAUUUAAUUUGCUUUAAUUUAAUUUAAUUGUACAUAUAAUUAUAAUUGUUUAAUAGUAUUUAAUAGUGUUUCCUAAUAAAAUUCUAGUUAAUUGUAUAUAUAAUUAUAUUUAAUUGGUAUAAUUUGAUUUAAUUUGAUUUAAUAGUGUUUUCUAAUAAAAUUGAUAUUCUAUAUUUGUAGUGUUUCCUAAUAAAAUUCUAGUUAAUUGUAUAUAUAAUUAUAUUUAAUUGGUAUAGUUUGAUUUAAUUUGAUUUAAUAGUGUUUCCUAAUAAAAUUGUUAUUCUAUAUUUGAGUUUGACACGUGGCAAGCAUAUAGAAAGACACGUAUCAGUUUUACACCAUAUAUUCUACUUUGGUAUAUAGUAAAUAGAUUAUUUUGUAAAAAAAAAGUGUGUAAUAGUGAAUAUCCAUUAGAAUAAUAAUUUAUCUUAAGUAUGCUUAUCAAUAAUGCAGCAAUACGCUUGCAAGUUUGGAUUAUGAUAGGAUCAUUUGUUUGGAAAAAUGGGUUGGGCAGAGUGUUUUUGUUGUUGGAUGGAAGAAGUGUGACACCCCAAUAGUCCCACAUCGGAUGGGAAUGGAGUGUGUCUUGGUUUAUUAAGACUUGAGCACUAAGUAAUUAAUAACUGGGCUUAAGAUUUUGGGCCGUUUGGCUAGGCCCACGAGUAUUAUUAUUGCAUAGUGAGGCUGGGUCGUUACAUUGGUACAGAGCUGUGUUCACCAGCCGGAAGCUGUGGCAGUCUGGCUGAGCAGGAGUCUUGAAGACAAGGUGGCUGCUUGCCAGGUUGGAUGACAAGGCUUGAGCGAGAGAGUCUAAUAGUCCUGGUGAUUCUUAGGCAUUGUGUGUGUGAUUGGCGACGAGGAACGUCAAGGCGCCUUACGCGGGGGAGUCUUGUGACACCAAUGUCACUACAUCGGAGUGGGAAUGGGGUUGUUCAUUGCGGUUUAUAAGAGCUUGACAUAGCUAUAUAACUGGGCUUAAGCAUUUGGUGCUGUUGGCUAGGCCACGAGUUAAUUAUUGUACAUGGUGAGGUCGUUAAAUUUUGUGUAUCAGGUGUGGAGGUUUUGGUAGGACCGGGGUCAGGGCUCUUUGUUUGAUGCCGUUCAGAUUUUGGUUCGCCCGUUCCAAGACUGAGCAUGUGGGACCGAUGGUGCCGGGCGAAGCAUGGGAGAUCAGUGGCGUUCUGAAGUGGAGGGGAUGGUGAGGGAAUGGUUUACAGAGCAGUGCGAACACAUCCCGCUCUCAACGUGGAGGGAUUACGGGCAAAUGCACUCUAGACCAACAUGCCCACAGGCCUAUUCAACGAACCACUAUUUAUAAAAAUGUAGACCCCAGAUGUCCUAUAUAUGGAAUAUAAUAGGCCUAACUUCUAUAACCCCGCUUAGAAUUUUGCGUGGUGGCUAGACCCAAGAGGUUAGGAGAGUUAGCGUGUAGGACGAUAAGUUCAUGAUGGUGACCACUGAGGAAGUCGGGGGAUACAGAUGGUAUCGAGCAUAUUACGAGCCGGAAGUGUGAGAUGUAGUCUCGGUCUGUAGCCAAGGUUGGAUGACGGGCUAGCAAGAUCGAGUUCACAUCGCCUGGGUAUUUGUGAGUCUGAGCCUGCGAGGACGUCAAGGGUCUUAAAGAAGGGGAUGUUGAACCCCAGGAUAUGUCCUAUAUAUGAGAAUUAAGUAGCGGCUAACUCUUAACCCGCUUAAGAUUGUGGGUGGUGGCUAGACCUAAGAGGUUAGAGAAGUUAAGCGGUGCUUAGGACAGGGAGUGAGUCCCUAGGUAUGGGUGACCCCCUAGGAAGUUUGGGGUUCACAUUGUGUUACCCCGAUAGUCUAUUUAUGAGAUUAUAAUAGGGCUAAACUCUUAACCCGGUUAAGCAUUUUAACGGUGGUGGUAGACCCAAGGGUUAGAGAGGUUUUUUUAGCGUUGCUAGGACGGGGUAGUCUAGGAUGGAGUGACCCUGGGAAGUAAAUGGGGACUCACAUGGAUAUAGAGCCAAUUACCAGCCGGAAAUUUGAGAUGAGUCUCGGUGAGUGAGGGUUGGAUGAAGGCUGCUAGGAGACAAGUCUCCAUCGCUGGUAACAACCCAAAACGUACUUGUGAGUCUGACGACCUGACGAGGACGUCAGGGCUUAAAGGACGGGGAGAUAUGUUGGACUCCAGGUAGUCCUAUUAUUAAGAUAUAAUAGGGCUAACUCUAUAACUCCGGCUUAGCAUUGUGGGUCAAGUCGCAGAGGCCCAAGAGGUAAGCGAGUAAGCGUGCUAGGACGGGAGUAGUCGCUAGGAGGGUGACCCCGGGAGUCGGCGGGUCCACGUGGUAUCAGAGCCAAUUACCAAGCGGUAAGUGUUUGAGGAGUUCGGCUGAGCCAGACGGGUAUGGAUGCGGUGGCUAGCGAUUAUGGUCUCAAUCGCCUCGGUAUUUGUUGGUCUGGCCUGACGAGGAGAUUGGAGAGAAACCACACUACGCAACAAACAACAAACCGAGAAAAAGCAAAACGCAAAUCGAAGAACCAUAGAACAAGUCAGGGCUUAAAGAAGGGGAGAUUGUGAGACCCAGAUAGUCCUAUAUAUGAGAUAUAAUAGGGCUAACUUUAACGCGUUAAGAUUUUGAGGUGGUGGCUUAGACCUAAGAGGUUAGAGAGUUAAGCGUGCAUAGGACGACGGAGUUAGUCUAGGAUGGGUGACCCCUGGGAAGUGGGGCGUUACAUUUAGUAUCAGAGCGGUUAUUAGCUGGAAUGAUGUGGAGAGUCUCGGCUGAGCCAGGGUCUGGAUGACGGGCUAGCGAGACGAGUCUCACAUCGCCUGGUGAUCUUGGGCUGUGUGUGUGAUUGGACUGACGAGGACGUCAGGGCCUUAACGGGGGGAGUCUGUGACACCCCAAUAGUCCCACAUCGGAUGGGAAUGGGGUUGUCAUUGGGUUUAUAAGAGACUUAGACACUAGUAAUAAUAACUGGGCUUAAGCAUUUUGGGCUGUUGGUUUGGGCCCAACGAGUUAUUGUUACUAGUGGGCUGGGUCGUUACAAGAAGAGAGAAAAAAGAUAGAAGAAAUGUAUUAAAUUGAUGCGACCCCAACUUUUCUUUUAAUAGUUUCCUUUUAAUAAACAAGUUCAAAUUCAAAUAUCUUAUUAUUUAAGAAUAUGUCUAGGAAUAGACAAUUAUCUUGUUAUUUAGGAAUAUAUUUAGGAAUUGAUUUAUUUAUGUUAAAUUAGGUAUGAUUACAAGUAAUUUGAGGAUAUGAGCUCUAAAUAAUGUAAUCCGAUAUUACAAGAAAUAAUCAAGCAAUAUUAUCUCUUUUUCCUCAUAUCUUGUCUUCUCUCUACCACUUCUCUCUAACUUUCUACCCCUUAAUUCUCUGUAGGCACGAUCCCCUCGAAGUGAUCGAUUCGGUAUAGUAGGAUUGUUUCAUUUGGUAUCAGAGCUUGUAUGGUCUUGACUCGAGCAAAAAAAGGAUCCUUGCGAAAGAUGGAGAAGGAGUUUGUACGAAGGGAGGAAAUGAACAACGUUGAUACUCGAUUGAACAAACUGGAGAUCGAAGUAAGGUUCAUUAGCGAUUCUACUAAUGAUCUUAAAACUUUAAUUAUCGCUAUGAACACAAAGAUGGAUGUGCGACCGCAAGUUCCGAUAAAAAUAGUCCUCUUCUUCCUACUCCCUUCAAGGAAGAGGCAUUGAUUCCUUCUAUGUAGAACUCUAUGAUGGUGAUACUGUGAAACAACCGUUGUACUCUAAAAUCUUAAGCUGUUAAAGAAUGAUGUUUAUAUAAUUUUAUAUUUAGCACUCCCCCUCACGUCUGGGCUCGAAACUUUUUGCAAGCCCAAGACGUGCAAUUGAAUUAAAUAGGAGAAAAUUAAUUAUGAUAGGGGCCUGACAUGGCUUGAACUCGGGGCCUCGUGUCACAAGACUGGAGUUUCCCCGAUUUGAUGGUGAUGGACUAGCUGGAUGGAUGUACCGAGCAGAGCAAUUUUUUAAUUUUAAUCAAAUACCAGACAUCCAGAGGGUUCCGCACGCAUCUUAUCAUAUGGAGAAGGGAGCGUUACAAUAGCUUCAAUGGUUCGAGAAAAGCUGUGGAGUCAUGGCAUGGGUGGAUUUCGUAGAAGCUCUUUGUACUCGUUUUGGUCCAACUAUGUACACAGACUAUAAGGGAGAACUAACAAAAUUAUAACAAGGUUCGACGCAAAGUGUUCGUGAUUAUCAGGCCCGAUUUGAAAUGCUUGCAAACCGCACGACGGGGCUAUCCGAGGCAUUUUUCAUAAGUUGUUUUGUUAGCGACUUGCGAGAGGAUCUCGAGCAUGAUGUCCGAGCCUUCCGAUCGACAUCUAUCUCUGCCGCAAUUGGUCCUACAGACCUUCAGGAGGAAAAGCUUUUAGCCCAACGACGUCAGGUAAGACCUACCCCUACUAGGCUGAGUAUUUCUACGACCAUAAUCCCUAAAGAGGCUCUCCCACCAAUUAAGCGUUUCAUGCCGGCCGAAGCGAAAAUAAGAAGAGAAAAAGGGCUAUGUUAUAAUUGCAAUGAGAAAUAUAGCCCAGGUCAUCGAUGCAAAACAAAGCAAUUGUUUUUUAUCGAAGGCGAGCCUAAUGAAGAUAAUAUGGAGGACACUCCUGUGGAUAUUAAUACCGAAGAAUUGUAGGCGAAAAUUUCUAUGCAUAUUAUAUCCGGGUCGUUGUCUGCCCAAACAAUGCAUGUGAAGGGCCUUCUUAAGCGACAACCGGUUGCCAUUCUCAUCGACUCAGGAAGCACCCACAAUUUCAUAUAUCGCGAUCUAGCCCAGAGAAUGCACUACCAUAUUGCUGAAGAAAAGCAUUUUGAGGUAAUGGUUGCCAACGGGGAGAAAGUCGCAAUUGGUGGUAAAUGUUUCAACAUACCUAUUACUCUUCAAGAUUAUUAUUUUAUAACAGAUUUCUAUGUUUUCCCUCUCGGUUGGUGCGAUGUGGUACUUGGAGCCCAAUUGUCACGCCCCGAGCCCGAUCCUUUUGGCCGAUUCGAGCGCGUCAAACAGACGCCGAACGGACAGAGUCUCCCCUGCCCGCCCAAGGCUCAAUAUCCUAUACAAAUAGAGUAUAAAUUUUGCACAAAACGGAAGCAUACACAAUGGCUUGCACGAGGGCAAGCAAUAGCCAAUAGUGAAAGUAAUAAACUACACUUUAGGAAUUUAUUUAUAUUUUUGCAUCAUUUCUUUUAUACAUCACAUAUUCCUCAAAACAUAACCAUUUGCAUUGAAACAUAAACCCCUUUUUACAUCAUUCAUUUAACAUGUUCAUCUAAAAUCAACAAAAUACAAAAGAUGAUAACUAAAGGAUAUGCAACUAAACCAAAAUGUGAAACCAACUCGGGUGGUCUCUAACUAUAGAGCGAUACCUUUACCGCGAUCAUCCACCGGCUCGUUUGGUCCCGGCUCUGUGGAAAAUAGGGUGUGAGAACUACAACAAAGUUUUCAGUGGGUUCGGCAACCAACCACACUGACUUUCCCACUAGGUCUAAUCAGGCAUAAUAGAAAAACAGAUAGAUAGAAACCAACUAAACAAAUGCAGCUAAUAUGCCUGAAUAAUAAGUAAUGCGAUGCUCGAUAAAAUACUCAUGAUAAAUGCAAGGUCAUAAUCUCAUUGCCCAAUCUCUUGGCUAACCCAUAGGUUUCGCCCUCAACAACUCGCCAACCAAAUCCCUACUAUCGGAGAGAUACCCGCUACAACCCAACGGGACCGUCCUCUGAGGAGAUACUCGCUACAACCCAGUAUGACAACUCCGGAGCACAUCGCCCGAGGGGGAGCUACCACCCUCGAACAAGGACUUACAGCUGAGUAUGAUCCAAUCCUUAACUAUAAGGAUGUCGAGUCGAAUCCAUUCCUUAUCUAUAAGAAAACAAUGCACAUAUGACCCUUAACUCUAAGGUUGUUAUGUCAUAAUGUCGCUAUCUCUAUUUACUUGCAUUCUUUAACCUUUACUAGUGUCAUAUACACUACUUGUUCUUGUACAUAUGCCACACCUGUUUUCUAAGUGUUACAACUCUAGCAUUCUCGACUCAUCAUUGUCACUUUCUACUUCUAUGUCAAGAUGUCACAUUUGUUUACUAAGUCCACUAAAUUCUUGUCACUUGUCAUGCAUAAAUAGGGUUAUUAAAAUUCUCACAUGCAUUUGAACUCAUAACAUGCAAAAAAGAAGCUUACAAUUACCCUACUAUGCAAUAUGCUGAAAUACAUACAUAUGCUUAAGUAUGACACUUUAGGUAUAAAAAAAAUUCCGAGGUUCUUGGUAUGCACCACCCACCUUAGAUGGUUGAGAGGAUGCUACGGUGAAUUUCUUGAAAUUUUUGAAGCCCUAUUUUUUUCGUCUGUGGCAAAACGAAGCCAAAUUAAGCUUUUUCUCAAUAACUUUAUUUAAACCUUUUCGUAACGUCAAACGGAGUUGUCCCACGCAUCAGGAAUACCCCCAAUUAGGUUUUCUAUAAGGUCAAUUUGCCUUAGAAACUUUUCAGGACAAAAGCCCUAAAUUUGGUGCCCUAACAACACUGUUUGCUCAAUCCUAAGUUUUGAUCUCUAAAAUAAGCAAAAGAGAGCUUAUCCAACAUCUAGAAGCUCAUUUAGAACUAUCUAAACUAUUUCUAGGGUUUAGAAUGCAAGCCCUAAAAAUCCACCAUUAGAGAGUUCCAAGAAACUAGGUUUCAUGUAUUCUAUAGCUCCAAUUAGGUUUCUACACUCAUUAGAAAAUCAAAACCUAGUUUUCUAGGACAUAAACCCAAACCCUAGCCUAAGUUUUCAUGAAAACCUCACCUUGGCCCAAAGCUCUCCAAGGUCCACCUUAUAGGAGAGAUCCCAAACCCUCAAAGCCUCCAAAUCCACCUUCAAAAGCCUUCUCUACUCCUUCUCCUUGCUCUGUGGGGAGAGUUCUAGAGAGAAAAAGAGAGAAAUAAGAGAGGAGGUGUGUAGUGGCUGUGGGAGAGGGAGAGAGGAGUGUUGGGGUUAUGUAUAAGGUGCUACAAUUACCAAAAAUCCCACCACUUAUUCAUAUGUGUAGCAGUUUUCAACCUGCUAUCGGGCCCAAAGUGUACCAGUACACUUUAAGGUGUCACCGGUAACACGAUCGCGUAUAGCCAAACCUGAGAGCAGCUCCCUCGGGUUUGGAGCAUUUGUACCGGUACACUUUUAUUUUGUACCGGUACACUUGUCUGUACCAAUGACAACUCGAUGGUUGUACUGGUACACAUUGCCUAGACCUGAUUUUUUGCUCCGUUUCGAUUCUAUUUCGCGCCGAUUUAUGCCAAAACCUUUCUAACACCUCUUAAACUCAUUUUUAGCCCUUCCAACCUUGUUGAAAUGCUAAAUGAAACUUGUCCAACUAUUUCUUUCGCAUUUUUCACUUUUAAAUCGCGCCGAGUAAUGCUAAAACUUGUUUAACACUCUCGAGACUCGAUUUUGACCCUUCCAACGCUGUUAGAAGGUCAACUGGAGUUUGUCCAUCCAUUUUCCUCGGCACUUUAACCAAUUUGGCUAAAGUUCGAUAAUCGCUAUCGGGGUUUCGAUACGUUACACCAAUGGCUUCAUACUCUUAGACCUAUUCUUUGGGAUUUUUCAAAGCUUUCUAUGCAGUUUACAAUCAAUGGUCAGCAGUAUUCAAUCAAAGGAUCAAGAGCGCCAGCAUCGCAGAUCAUAAGCAAUAUUGUCUCUUUUUCCUCGUAUCUUGUCUUCUCUCCACCUCUUCUCUCUAUCUCUCUAUCUUUUAAUUCUCUGGAGGCACGAUUCCCUCGAAGUGAUCGAUCUGGUACGGUAGAAUCAUAUCAUAAAUGAAUAUAACAGUAUACGGAAGAAAUAUGUGAUUUACGUAGAAACCGUCUGGUUAUUUUUAUUAAAGCUUUAAAAUGAUGAAACUGAUUAUGUGGGAAUUAGUUUUUGAAAAGCAGCUCUAAAUUGUUUCUAAUUCUAGUGCCAUAAAAAUCAGUUUUCUAAUUCUGAAAAAUUGAAUUAGUUUUUUUAAUGAUUGCUUUCAAUCUCUAUUGAGCCAAAAAUCACUAACACCCACUAUAAGAUAGAAUUAUUUUUGUAUUUAUAAUUUGGCUAAAUUAUAUAAAACCUUCCUGUCAAUACCCACUUUUUGACUUCCCCCCUGUCAUUCAGAAACCUACACUCUGCCCCCUUAUAAAAUAUUUAUAGGAGGGAACGGUGUGACAAAAUGACCAAAUUGUCCUCAUUUUUUUCGUCUCCUCCUCCCCAAUCUUGCUCAUCCCGAUGGCGGAGGAGGGUGAGGGCGUGUGUCUGGGCAUGGACAAAGGGGUGCGCGAGGGCGCUGCAGCGGAGGGCGAGGUAGCGGCCGAAGGCAUGUGUGUGGGCAUGGAUGAGAGUUUUAGGUGUAUUUUGGGUAUAAAAAUCCUAACAGAACACUGAUGGAGUGAGCCGAAGUGAAUAUUUUUUAUUUUUUAAGGGGGCAAAAUGUAGAUUUUUGAAUGACAGGGGAGAAAAGUAAAAAAAUGGGUAUUAACAGGAAGGUUUUCUAUAAUUAUAUAAUGAAUCCUCAAGCAAGCAGGAGGGGCUAGAGUCUGUAUUUUUUUUCUAAUUUUAAUUAUUUUCUCUCUCCACUAAUUUCGACUGAGUGAAUUGGACUUAUGUUUUUCUUUUAAUCUAAUUUACUUUUUCUAUCAUUAUACAACAUUUAAAAUAUAUAAUAUUUUACACAUAAUAUAUAUCUAUCUAUAAAUAUAAUGAAUCCUCAGUUUCUUGAGCCUACGUGGCGGAAAAGGGGAGAAAGACGGAGAGCACGAGGGACUGAAGCCAACAUUUUUUUUUGAAGGGUUAGAUAGCUGAUACAAAAUAGUUCAUAGUAUCGAAAAAUUUUAUUGUUUUUAGUUCGAUUUUAAUAUCAAAUUUUAAUGUCAUAUUUACAGUUUGAUGAGCAAUCAAUUUCACAUUUAAAUUUUUUUAGGAUCUCUAAAAUAUAAGUGGUUGGCUUUUAUUUUAAGAAUUGUGCAUUCUAAAAUUUAUUAGAUAGUUUAACAUAUUCUUUCGUCGAAUGAAAUUACUAAUUAAACAAAAUCAGUCGAUGCUCAAUUUUAUCUUCGUUUGGAAUAAAAUUAAAUUUUAAAAGAAUAAAUGACGUUUUUGGUUCCAAACUAUAAGAUGCGCGACACUUUAGUCCUUGAAUUUUAAUAUUUUACAUUUUCUUGCUCAAACUAUGAGGCACAUGACACUUUAGUCUUCAAACUUUAAUUAGUUGCAAUUUCUGGCUUGAAUUAUGACGUAUAUAAUAAUUUAAUUUUACAAAUAUAGAAAAUUAAGAAAAUAUAAAUAAACAUUCUUUAUAAUAUAUAUAUAAGAUUAUUUAAUAUAUAUUUUAUUUUUUUAAUUUUAAAAUCAAUAUAUAUNNNNNNNNNNNNNNNNNNNNNNNNNCCCCCCCCCCCCUCUCUCUCUCUCUCUCUCUCUCUCUCUCUCUCUCUCUCUCUCUCUCUAUUUUAAUUUCUCUCUCUACUCUACCCCCUCUCUCUCUCUCUUUCUCUCUCUCUCGUCUAAUGAGAUUAAGAUGAUUGAUUAGCUACCCACACACACACACACACACACCAACUAACAGAAGCACCAAUUGGGUGCCAAUUAUGAGGGAAAGGAAACCGACCAACGGAGGGGGUAAACGGCCUUUUCCAUCAUCAUCUCCAUCAUCAUCGUCGUCGACACCACCGUAUGUGUAUAUAUAUACGUACGUACAUAUCUUCAUAUGUACAUGCUAUAUAUGUAACCCCGCAUAUUAUUUUGCUGAGAGGUUGAUUAAUUGAUCACACAGAUUUUUUUUUUUUGUAUUAACUGUACUAUAUACCUAUUUGAUACAUUUGAAUUCAACUGCUGCAAUUAGAACUGUAUAAGAAGAUUCAAGCGAGCAGUUUUAGACAAAAGAUAAACUUAACUCCUUAAUAUUUUUUUAAUAUAUAUAUAUAUAUAUAUAUAUAUAUAUGAUGAUUUUUUUGAUAUAAAUUAGCAUACAAAUAUAUAUAGAGAGAGAGAGAAAGAGGGAGAGAGAGAGAGAGAGAGAGAGAGUAUGACUAUUAUAUUCUUACCGGUAUAGAGUUUUUUUGUACUCAUAAGUUAUUUUAAAAAUAAAACUUUCGAAUCAAUGAUCCACACAGUUAAAUAUGAUGUAGAGUUGUUGGAUUAGAAACACGGGGCAAAACUAACUAGAUCAAUGCGUUGAUUGAGUCAGACACUGCCUCGAGAGGCGAAUCGACUUCUGAAAUGAUCCUCAAAUGUGUCACUACUAAGUCGAGCGAUUCAGUUGAGAAGGGAUCGGCUCAACCAGACUCUUUCACUAAUUAUUUUCGAGUGAAUCGAAAUGCGAGCUCAACUAAUUAAAGAACCGAAUUAUUUAUGUUAAUUUGAAAAGGGCGAUUAAAAAAAGGGCUAAAUUACAUAAAACUUUCCUGUCAAAAUCUGAUUUUUUACUUUCCCUCCCUAUCAUGUAAAAACCUACACUUUGCCCUCUUGUAAAAUGAAAAAUAUUUACUUCGCCCCCUGCCGUUAGUAAUCUGUUAGGGUUCCAUUUAUAAAAUAUUAUUAUAUAUUUUUUUAUACCAAAACUGCCCUCAGCCUUCUCUCUUGUGAAUAUAAUCAGGGGCAAAAUGUUGAGAGGCAAAAUGGUCAUUUUGUCAUCACAGUUCACACCGUACUUUUCUGUAAACAUUUUUCAUUUUACAAGGGGGUAAAGUGUAGGUUUUUAAAUGACAUGGGGGGAAAAGUGAAAAAUCAGAUUUUGACAGAGAGGUUUUCUGUAAUUUAGCCUAAAAAAAAUGUUACAAAGAGUAAAAUCUACUCCUUAGAAAGAUCUUAGAAUUAACUAAACUCUUAGAUGGAAAAAAAAAAAAAGAAGAAUAUAUGAACUACUACUAGAAAACCGUAAAUGCCGGGAAGAAGGAAUUGAAGUUUGUUGUGGUCACUUGUUUGUGUGAUGGACCUUUAUCACAAGCGCAUUUUUUUCUGUUUAUAAUAGCGUAUUCUCCGGCCUGCAGUAAAUGGGUAAAACUUUUAAAAAAUACUUUUCAUAUUUUUUUUUAAAUUAUAUUAAAAUCUAUCAAAUAGGCAUAAAAUAAACAGCCGAUCUUAAACGACCUUGUAAAAAUAAAUAACUAGAUCCUUUAUUGAUCUUUAUCUAGAUAGUAAAUAAGAUUCUCUAUAAAAAAAAAAAAAAAAAAUCAAUCAACUCUUGAUUCUUAACUUUUUUUUUAAAAUUUUUUAAUCAAAAUUACAGGUCUUUUGGCACGUUGGUACAACCCUCUUAUUUUUCAUCACUAUAAAUAAAUAAAUAAAUAAAUAAAUAAAUUGAUGGAGCAAUUUUAAAUUGAUACAACUUUGACAUUUCCCACACCCACACACCCUAGCGUUAAGAUUUGAACAUGUAUUGUUGGACUUUGACGCAUAAAAAGGAAAAUUAUUGUAUAUGUGAUAUUUUAGUCAAAUUUGAAUUCCAAUAAGAUGGCUUUAAAUGAUGCUAAUAAACCUAAAUGGCUUUGGAUAUUGGGACAAAGAGUAAAGGCUUAAUUAUAAAAACAUACCCACAUUUAUUUACCUUUUGUCUUAAUUACCUUUCUGUAAAAAAAAAUUAGUAAAAAUGUAUAAAAAUUACUUAAAUUAUGACCAAUUUUAAUUUGACUAUCCAAUCUUUCAAAAUUUUAAUUUUACUAUCCAAAAUUUUAAUUUGUUUGAUUUGAGUAAGCCAGCGACACUUUGACUAUAAAAUUUAAGCUAAUUAUUUUAUUUAAUAAAUUUAUAGUUUGAAAAAAUUAUAUAAAAUUAAUAUACUUACUAAACCUGUAAAGAUAAACGACGCGUUCAAAUUUUGAAGUCAAAGUGAGUCGUUGGCUAGCUCAAUCAAUUGAUCCAUAGUUCUAGUAAGUUCUGUACAUUUUUGCCUAAAAAAUUUUAACGGUGUCAAUCCUUCACUUUAGUCUUGUGUCAAAUAGGUCUUUAAUAAUUUAGAGAUUCAAUUAUGUUUUAAGAAAAGUGUUAACGGUGAUGACGUGGUAAGAUUAUUUAACAUUAAGGGUGCGUUUGGUUCGCAUUUUGAAAAAUUAUUAGGAAUAAAAGAUAUCCGAGAAUCUUAUUCCUAUUCAUCCUAUUACUAAGAAUGUGGAAUUGCUGUGUUUGGUUCGCACGAUAAUAUUAAUUAGCCAUGUUAUUUAAUAUUACAAAAAAUAUACAAUUAAUUAAUUAAUUUAUUUAUUUAAUUUUAGAUAAUGUUACCAAAAGUUUCAACAUCUUUUUAGAAAAAAGGGAGAGAGAGUAUAAGUUAGAGAGAGAGAGCAUAAUUAAAAAAAUAUAAAGAAAAAUAUAGUCAAAAUUAGAGGAAGUGAGAGAGUUGAAAUUUUAGAAAGAGAGAGAGAGAGAGAAAAAGCUUAGUUUAGAGAGAAAAAAAAAAGUUGAAUUUUAAAGAGAAAAAUAAGUUUAGAGAGAUAUAAGUUAGAGUGUAAAGAAAAAUAAUAUCAAUUAGCCGGCGGGUAGGAAGAAAGAAAGAGAUUAAACAUAUUAUGAUUAUCCCAAUCCAUUAAUAUGAGGAUACCUACCCUCCCUCAAGGGAAUGAGAUUAGUACUUUGGAGUGAAUCUUAUUCCCAAGUGAAUCCAAUAUUAUCAAUUAGAUUACUUAGUGCAUUUAACCAAAUACCGUUAUAUUUUUUUUAUUCCCAUUGAAUUACUAGGAAUCUUUAAAAGAUAGCGCGAACCAAACGCACCCUAAAAGCAUUUAAAUUCACAUGUGAAUAUCUUCCUCUUAGGUUUUGAUAUUAGGAAGUGUGCUUAAAAGAGCUAAGAUGAGUUUCAAAAUGUGAUAUCUCAACAUGCAGUUGUUAAAUUAAUCAAAAAUCCUAACGGAAGGAUCUAUUUGAGAUAGAACUAGAGUGCAUGGUUGACAUUAUUAUUGUUAUUAUUAUUAUCCUAAGAAAAAUGUAGUAUACUAUUCGUUUUAUUUUUUUUUUUUAGAAAUAAAUUUAGCUAAAAACAUAAACUAACUAGAACUUAGCUGAAAAGGCGUAAUGUUAUUUGAGUGGUGUUUGAAUAUAGCAUUCAUACAUUACGCUUUUUCGUCAGGUCGCACGUCCAUGACCGGUAUGAAAAGUAAGAUGUAUAAGAGAAAAUUGACCAAUCUGAUCAAGUGGUAGAUUAUUGUCAUAUGAUAUUUUAUUCCUUUCCACAUAAGAUGUUGAUUAUUGUUUAUCAUAAUAAGAUAAGAAUACGAAUGAAUUAUAUGUUUAUUAUUAACUAAGAAACAUAUCACCUAAUAUUUUGAAAUUCAAAUCGCAUGUGAAUAGAGUUAAAACAUAACCGGCCAAUAUGGAUAUACCACAUGGCAACACUACCUAUACGACGAAAGCUGGGGUGAGCCGAGUCACAAUCGAGAACCAUGAGUUAAUUUGUGUUUGUAUAUUUUAAGUACAUCAGUCGUCUCCUUUUUAUUAAUUUGAACUUUGGAAAUUCUUGUUAGUACCCAACGAUCUAACAAAGCGAUAUUACAGUAGCACUCCUUUUCUCAUCGUUUGGUCCGAAAAUAAACUGUUCUUUCUUAUUCUUGAUAUAGGUACAAUUCUUGAAAUAAGCAAGAAUAAGAUCAAUUUUGUAUUUGGAUGAAAAUUAAAUUAUUUCUAAAAAUUUUAAAAAAAUAGUAUUUGAAUAAUAUUUGGAUAUAAAGGGAAAAAUAAGAGUUUAUUUUCUCUCUUAUGUCCGAAUCAAACGGUGACUUUAUUCAAAAUAAUGUAAUAGCAAAAUGUUGACAUUUUUGCUUUUAAGCUAUUACCAUCUUAUUUUUAUGGGCCAUCUUGGUGGACACAAAUUACAAUGUCCAAGCUGUAGUCCUCUGUUUUAGAGGAAAGUCUACUGCAUAGCAUUUACAUCACAUACUACAAUAGAAUUAGGUUAUAGAAAUAUAUUUCUGAAAUAUUUUAAUAUAAAUGUUCCAUUUAUGUCAAAAUUUUUAAAAAAAUCUACUAAGGCGUAAAUAUAAAGUUCGAUCCAACUAAAAAUAAAAAGUUUCUCUACUCAACUAACCCCAUCCAGCUCACUUGACUCGAUUAUAAAUAGAAAAGAAAAAAUAAAAAAAAAUUUGAUCACCAUCUCCUCUUCUCCUCCUCCGCCGUCGCAACCGACGAGGUAGACGCGAGGAUCUCGUAGGAACCGUAGAGAACUACGAUCGCCACGUGUCCCUUCGCCAUAUGCCGCUGGAGGAAUGAGUACCAAACAUCGAGGCGGCCCCACAUAUAGCGACCUUACAUAUAGCAACACUUUUAAAAAGCGUCGGUAAUUUAGCCAGCAGUAAUUUUUUUUGACCUUUUCCGAUAUUUAAAAGUGUCGCUAUAUGCCCUUUUUGUUAUAGUGACAUCAUUUAUCCCCAACUAAUUAUUUUUUUUAUUUUGAAAGAAAAGUACAAUAAAAAUAAUUUUCUAAAUAUGAUGAUGGAAUGGGUGAGUUUCAAAAGAGCUUUUUUUUAUUGAUUGAAGACAACAUAUCAGCAAUAUAAAUAUUGUAUUCUAAAAUUUUUCCUAUUUUAGAGGACAUCCUAAAGCUUCUGCAUUGGUUUCAUCAGAAAAAAAAAAAAAAAAAAAAAAAAAAAAAAAAAAAAGAAAAAAAAAAAAAAAAAACCUUUGGGAUAACAUUUUUGAUAAUGUAAAAUAUUUGUGAGGUCACUCCAUGCAUGCCACUUCUUAAGUAUAAGAAAUGCAAUUCAAUGCGAAGUUCUCNAGAAAAAAAAAAAAAAAAAAAAAAAAAAAAAAAUCCCAAGGACUCUAGUUGGUUGGAUAAAAGAAUAUGGUAAAAGUAGAAAUGUCAACAGAUCGAAUUCAAAAAAGAGUUUAAAAAAUUUGAUCCGAACCUGAUUAUCAAAUUUGGAAUCCAAAUCCGACAGAUUCUAAAAAUUCAUAUCCAAAUCCGAAUUCGACCAAAAAUCCAAAACUCAAACCGAACCCGAAAACUCCAAGUUGAAACAAUUAUUUCUUUUUACCUAUUUCAAAACAUUUUACAUCAAAUCUAAAUUUCUAAAAUAAUCAAAAAUAACAUCAAAUAUUUGUAUAUAUUAUAUAAUGCAAAAUUAAUUCGAGUUCAGGUCCUGUUCGAGUUCGGCAUCGGGUCGGUUAUAGACAAAAUUCAUAUCCAAAUCCAAAUCCGUCGGAUUUUCAUUUUUUAUACCCAUAUCCGAAACUUAUCCAUUUAGUAUCGGAUAAAUCCGCUCCGUUCGAAUUCAGAGUCCAAUAAAAUUUCAUAUAUCCGUACCCAUUGACGUCCCAAGCUGUACGGAGACCUUCUUAACUAUAGGGCAUUCAAAAAUAGGUCCCUCAGAUUUUAUUUUUUAAUCCAUAUUUUUUAAACUUUUUUAAAAAAACUUGAAUAUCUUUACGCCGUUAAACGAGAAAACGCUUCAUAUCGACCAUUAAAAUUACAAAUUUUGAAACCCUUUGAUCAUUAAGCAAAUGAUGUCGAAAAGAAUUGAAAUUUGAUUUCUAAACACUUCAAGUGGUAUAAAUCAUGUUCAACGGUGCCGAUCGUCGAUUUGGAGGCUCCAUCAUCGAAAACAAAUGGGUGGCAAAAGAGUCAGUUUGUUAUCGAUAGUAUUCUAGCUCAACUCUCUCUCUCUCUCUCUCUCUCUCUCUCUCUCUCUCUCUCUAUAUAUAUAUAUAUAUAUAUUAAUUUAUAUUUUUAAAUUAAAUAUAUUCAAAAUUAUAUUUAUGACUAUAAUAUAUAAUAAUAUAUAUUUAGGACUAUAUAAUAUAUAUUUAAUAUUAAAUAAUAUAUAUACACACAUUUAGAAAAUAAAAUAUUAUGUAAUAAGAAUUGAGCUCUUAUGCUUUUAACAGUACUAUAAGUUAUUGGUACUUGUAAGUUUUCGGUACUUGGAUUAAGGAAUAUGUAGCUAGGAUGAUAGCGAUCGUCUAAAGUUGAGUGAGUGAUUAGUUGAAUAGUAUGAUCUAACGGAUAAAAAGGUCAGAUAGAUAGAUAUAACGGCAGAAAACUUACAAAUAUCAAAUAUUUUAUACUUUUACACGUGUCAUAACCGGACUCAUAUAAUAAUAUAUAUAUUAAUGUAAAGAGAGAGACAUCGACAAAGAGAUAUAUAGAUCGAUACAUACCUCUCUCACGUGGUCCACGAGGUCCCACGUACGUCACCUCGCGGAUCGCGUGUGAGCAACUUCCAUGAGCCCUCAUUCCCCCUCGGGAGUUUUUGUUUUCCGCGUUUUCUGCGGUAAAGAAAGCGAAAACGAAAGCUUCAAUUUUUUUCCAAUCCCGUAAAGUAUUUUUACGAAAAAUUAUUUAUUAACGUCGAACCAAAUAAAUAAAAAAACUAAUUUUCAAAUCGAAAAUAGUUUUCAGCUUUGUUUUACAUCUAACGAAACACAUCCUAAGUGCGAAUUAGUAAGAAAACUAACAUCGCUAAGGAUACAUUUAGUUCCACGUAAAAUUGUUAAAAAAAGAAAAAAAUCGGGGAAAAACUAUUUUUGGUGGAAAAAUAAUUUUUUCAUUCGAUGUGUUAGGAUGGUAUGAAAAGGAAAAUAAUUUUGUAAUAAAGUUGUUUGGUUUGGCGGAAAAGGAAACAAAAUAUUUUUUUUUAUUUUUUGUUGUUAAUAUAUAUUUACUAUUUAAUAUUAGACAAUAUAUUUAAUGUAAUAGAUGCUAAUUAAAAUUACACAAUUUAAUUUUUUAAUUAUAUUAAAUAUAGUAACAAAUUAUAUAAGUUAAUAUAUAUAGAGAGAGAAACACACACCUAUUAAUAGUAUAGAUCAAGUCUAACGGAGCCAAUCGUCGAUUUGGAAGCCGCAUCAUUAAAAACAACUUGGUAGCACGGAGGCCUCCGUGCUACCGAUAAUAUACCAGCCUAGCUCUAUAUAUAUAUGUGAGACCUCAGAUAGUCCUAUAUAUGAGAUAUAAUAGGGCUAAACUCUUAACCCGGCUUAAGCAUUUUGGAUAGUGGCAAGGCCCAAGAGGUUAAGAGAGUUAAGCGUGCUAGGACGGGAGUAGUCCUAGGAUGGGUGACCCCUGGGAAGUUGGGGCGUCACAUAUGGUAUUAGAGCCAAUUACCAGCCGGAAGUGUGAGAUGAGUCUCAGCUGAGCCAGGGUAUGGAUGAUGGGCUAGCGAGAUAAGUCUCACAUCGCCUGGUACUUGUGAGUCUGAGCCUGACGAGGACGUCAGGGCUUAAAGAAGGGGAGAUUGUGAGACCUCAGAUAGUUCUAUAUAUGAGAUAUAA
rnacentral:lncRNA from 1 species